rnacentral:rRNA from 1 species
UACGUAGGUGGCAAGCGUUGUCCGGAUUUACUGGGUGUAAAGGGCGUGCAGCCGGAGAGACAAGUCAGAUGUGAAAUCUACGGGCUCAACCCGUGAACUGCAUUUGAAACUGUUUCCCUUGAGUGUCGGAGAGGUAAUCGGAAUUCCUUGUGUAGCGGUGAAAUGCGUAGAUAUAAGGAAGAACACCAGUGGCGAAGGCGGAUUACUGGACGAUAACUGACGGUGAGGCGCGAAAGCGUGGGGAGCAAACAGG